GAGUUUGAUCCUGGCUCAGGAUGAACGCUAGCGGCAGGCCUAACACAUGCAAGUCGAACGGUAACAGAGAAGAGCUUGCUCUUUUGCUGACGAGUGGCGCACGGGUGCGUAACGCGUAUACAAUCUACCUUUUACAGGGGUAUAGCCUUUAGAAAUGAAGAUUAACACCCCAUAGUAUCCACUUAUCUCAUGGUAUAUGGAUUAAAACUUCGGUGGUAAAAGAUGAGUAUGCGUUCUAUUAGCUAGAUGGUGUGGUAACGGCACACCAUGGCAACGAUAGAUAGGGGCCCUGAGAGGGGGAUCCCCCACACUGGUACUGAGACACGGACCAGACUCCUACGGGAGGCAGCAGUGAGGAAUAUUGGACAAUGGGCGAGAGCCUGAUCCAGCCAUGCCGCGUGCAGGAAGACUGCCCUAUGGGUUGUAAACUGCUUUUAUAUAGGAAGAAACCUUUCCACGUGUGGAAAGCUGACGGUACUAUAAGAAUAAGGAUCGGCUAACUCCGUGCCAGCAGCCGCGGUAAUACGGAGGAUCCAAGCGUUAUCCGGAAUCAUUGGGUUUAAAGGGUCCGUAGGUGGAUAAUUAAGUCAGAGGUGAAAUCCUGCAGCUCAACUGUAGAAUUGCCUUUGAAACUGGUUAUCUUGAAUUAUUGUGAAGUGGUUAGAAUAUGUAGUGUAGCGGUGAAAUGCAUAGAUAUUACAUAGAAUACCAAUUGCGAAGGCAGAUCACUAACAAUAUAUUGACACUGAUGGACGAAAGCGUGGGGAGCGAACAGGAUU
rnacentral:rRNA from 1 species